GACGAACGCUGGCGGCGUGCUUAAUACAUGCAAGUCGAACGGAAAGGCCCGGCUCUUGUUGGGCGCUCGAGUGGCGAACGGGUGAGUAACACGUGAGUAACCUGCCCUUGACUUAGGGAUAACUCUAGGAAACUGGGGCUAAAAUCGGAUAGAAGCUCCUGCUGCAUGGUGGGGGACGGAAAGAUUCGGCGUUUGGGGCUGGUCUAGCGGCAUAUCAGCUUGUUGGUGGGGUAGUGGCUUACCAAGGCUUGGACGGGUAGCCGGCCUGAGAGGGUGACCGGCCACAUUGGGACUGAGGUACGGCCGAGACUCCUACGGGAGGCAGCAGUGCGGAAUAUUGAACGAUGGGCGGCAGCCUGAUGCAGCAAGGCCGCGUGCCGGAUAACGGCCUUCGGGUUGUAGACCGCUUUCGCAUGUGACGAAGCGUGAGUGAAGGUAAUGGGUAAAGAAACACCCGCUUACUACGUG
rnacentral:rRNA from 1 species